CUAGGUCAGAGAGUCAUUCAGUGGUGGACAGAGGAUGAGGACGCCUCACGGCUAGGUCAGAGAGUCAUUCAGUGGUGGACAGAGGAUGAGGACGCCUCACGGCUAGGUCAGAGAGUCAUUCAGUGGUGGACAGAGGAUGAGGACGCCUCACGGCUAGGUCAGAGAGUCAUUCAGUGGUGGACAGAGGAUGAGGACGCCUCACGGCUAGGUCAGAGAGUCAUUCAGUGGUGGACAGAGGAUGAGGACGCCUCACGGCUAGGUCAGAGAGUCAUUCAGUGGUGGACAGAGGAUGAGGACGCCUCACGGCUAGGUCAGAGAGUCAUUCAGUGGUGGA